rnacentral:rRNA from 1 species
CGCCUGGGGAGUACGGCCGCAAGGUUAAAACUCAAAUGAAUUGACGGGGGCCCGCACAAGCGGUGGAGCAUGUGGUUUAAUUCGACGCAACGCGAAGAACCUUACCUGGCCUUGACAUCCAGAGAGCUUUCCAGAGAUGGAUUGGUGCCUUCGGGAACUCUGAGACAGGUGCUGCAUGGCCGUCGUCAGCUCGUGUCGUGAGAUGUUGGGUUAAGUCCCGUAACGAGCGCAACCCCUAUCCCUGGUUGCUAGCAGGUAAUGCUGAGAACUCCAGGGAGACUGCCGGUGAUAAACCGGAGGAAGGUGGGGAUGACGUCAGGUCAUCAUGGCCCUUACGGCCAGGGCUACACACGUGCUACAAUGGCGCGCACAGAGGGCUGCCAACUCGCGAGAGUGAGCCAAUCCCUUAAAACGCGUCGUAGUCCGGAUCGGAGUCUGCAACUCGACUCCGUGAAGUCGGAAUCGCUAGUAAUCGCGAAUCAGAAUGUCGCGGUGAAUACGUUCCCGGGCCUUGUACACACCGCCCGUCACACCAUGGGAGUGGAUUGCACCAGAAGUAGUUAGUCUAACCUUCGGGAGGACGGUUACCACGGUGUGGUUCAUGACUGGGGUGAAGUCGUAACAAGGUAACCGUA